rnacentral:rRNA from 1 species
AACGAACGCUGGCGGCAGGCUUAACACAUGCAAGUCGAGCGAGACAUUCGGGUCUAGCGGCGGACGGGUGAGUAACGCGUGGGAACGUGCCCUUCUCUACGGAAUAGCCCCGGGAAACUGGGAGUAAUACCGUAUACGCCCUUGGGGGGAAAGAUUUAUCGGAGAAGGAUCGGCCCGCGUUGGAUUAGGUAGUUGGUGGGGUAAUGGCCCACCAAGCCGACGAUCCAUAGCUGGUUUGAGAGGAUGAUCAGCCACACUGGGACUGAGACACGGCCCAGACUCCUACGGGAGGCAGCAGUGGGGAAUCUUAGACAAUGGGGGCAACCCUGAUCUAGCCAUGCCGCGUGAGUGAUGAAGGCCUUAGGGUUGUAAAGCUCUUUCAGCUGGGAAGAUAAUGACGGUACCAGCAGAAGAAGCCCCGGCUAACUCCGUG